rnacentral:rRNA from 1 species
UACGUAGGGACCAAGCGUUGUUCGGAUUUACUGGGCGUAAAGGGCGCGUAGGCGGCGUGUUAAGUCACUUGUGAAAUCUCUAAGCUUAACUUAGAACGGUCAAGUGAUACUGAUGUGCUAGAGUGCAGAAGGGGCAACCGGAAUUCUUGGUGUAGCGGUGAAAUGCGUAGAUAUCAAGAGGAACACCUGAGGUGAAGACGGGUUGCUGGGCUGACACUGACGCUGAGGCGCGAAAGCUAGGGGAGCGAACAGG